rnacentral:lncRNA from 1 species
UCCGACCGCUGCUGCUGGAUGAGCGGAUCAGCGCUGGGCCGGACUUCAGACGGCUUCGAGUGCAAAUUGCCAUGGACCUCCUGAAGGCCGCGAGGUACAGAUUUGAACAAAGUCUUUCUUACAAGCAAUUGCACUGGAGGGGAUCAGAGAAGUUCCAAGUUCCUCCAGGUGGUGAAUGUUCCCAUGAUCCUCUCCUGCUUCUCUCGAGACUCCUUUGCUGUCCACCCUAUUCAUCUCCUUGUUCGCCCGCCGGAGGUGAGACCGGACCAGUUCUGCAACCGUCCAGCUUUUAGUUCCUUUUUAUUACAGAUCAUCCAGCACACACUCCGGCCCGUGAUGCAGUGUGAUGGUCUGAUGACUUUCAUCGCUGAGACAAGUCACAACACGGCCCCACGAAGCGAAGCCAGUGGGAUGGACUUCAGCAGCAGGAUAUAGAGCAGCUUCACGCCGCCACCGCCCCGUCGCCUGCAGCCCGUGUUCUCGGAAUCCCGAGGGCGUAUCGCUUACCGACCUCUUUAAGAGCCAAAGUGGUCGUGAGCGCGAGGGCCGAGCGCGGCGAAUCACGGCUGAGCCGCCGCCGCCGCGACCACAUGGCCUACGAGGUGCCAUUAGCGAAGACACGUCUGAGCCCGGCCAGC